rnacentral:rRNA from 3 species
UGGGGAAUAUUGGGCAAUGGAGGCAACUCUGACCCAGCGACGCCGCGUGAGUGAUGAAGGUCUUCGGAUUGUAAAACUCUGUUGAUAGGGACGAAGAAGUGACGGUACCUAUCGAGGAAGCCACGGCUAACUACGUGCCAGCAGCCGCGGUAAUACGUAGGUGGCAAGCGUUAUCCGGAUUUACUGGGUGUAAAGGGUGUGUAGGCGGGGAAGUAAGUCAGAUGUGAAAUCUAUGGGCUCAACUCAUAGACUGCGUCUGAAACUGCUACUCUUGAGAGUCGGAGGGGUAAUUAGAAUUCCCGGUGUAGCGGUGAAAUGCGUAGAUAUCGGGAGGAAUACCGGUGGCGAAGGCGGAUUACUGGACGACAACUGACGCUGAGACACGAAAGUGUGGGGAGCAAACAGG